UACAGAGGUCUCGAGCGUUGUUCGGAUUCAUUGGGCGUAAAGGGUGCGUAGGUGGCGGGUGAAGUCAGAUGUGAAAUCCCGGGGCUCAACCCCGGAACUGCAUUUGAUACUGCCUUGCUCGAGUACUGGAGAGGAGACUGGAAUUUACGGUGUAGCAGUGAAAUGCGUAGAUAUCGUAAGGAAGACCAGUGGCGAAGGCGAGUCACUGGACAGUUACUGACGCUGAGGCACGAAGGCCAGGGGAGCAAACGGG
rnacentral:rRNA from 1 species